UACGUAGGGGGCGAGCGUUGUCCGGAUUUAUUGGGCGUAAAGAGCUCGUAGGCGGUUGGGUAAGUCGGGUGUGAAAACUCAGGGCUCAACUCUGAGACGCCACUCGAUACUGCUCUGACUCGAGUCCGGUAGGGGAGCGUGGAAUUCCCGGUGUAGCGGUGAAAUGCGCAGAUAUCGGGAGGAACACCAGUGGCGAAGGCGGCGCUCUGGGCCGGAACUGACGCUGAGACGCGAAAGCGUGGGGAGCGAACAGG
rnacentral:rRNA from 1 species